CGACCGGCGCACGGGUGAGUAACGCGUAUGCAACUUACCUAUCAGAGGGGGAUAACCCGGCGAAAGUCGGACUAAUACCGCAUGAAGCAGGGGCCCCGCAUGGGGAUAUUUGCUAAGGAUUCAUCGCUGAUAGAUAGGCAUGCGUUCCAUUAGGCAGUUGGCGGGGUAACGGCCCACCAAACCGACGAUGGAUAGGGGUUCUGAGAGGAAGGUCCCCCACAUUGGUGCUGAGACACGGACCAAACUCCUACGGAAGGCAGCAG
rnacentral:rRNA from 1 species